GUAGGGAAUCUUCCACAAUGGACGAAAGUCUGAUGGAGCAACGCCGCAUGAACGAUGAAGGCCUUCGGGUCGUAAAGUUCUGUUGUAAGGGAAGAACAAGUGCCGCAGGCAAUGGCGGCACCUUGACGGUACCUUGCGAGAAAGCCACGGCUAACUACGUGCCAGCAGCCGCGGUAAUACGUAGGUGGCAAGCGUUGUCCGGAAUUAUUGGGCGUAAAGCGCGCGCAGGCGGCCUCUUAAGUCUGAUGUGAAAGCCCCCGGCUCAACCGGGGAGGGCCAUUGGAAACUGGGAGGCUUGAGUAUAGGAGAGAAGAGUGGAAUUCCACGUGUAGCGGUGAAAUGCGUAGAGAUGUGGAGGAACACCAGUGGCGAAGGCGACUCUUUGGCCUAUAACUGACGCUGAGGCGCGAAAGCGUGGGGAGCAAACAGGAUUAGAAACCCUGGUAGUCC
rnacentral:rRNA from 1 species